rnacentral:lncRNA from 1 species
GUGGGGUCAUAGGUGGGAAGGUUGUUGGGGCAUCAGAACACAGCUCCCUCACCCACGUUGCCCAGCAGGAUUUCAGGUUGGAAGAAGACAAAGAGAGACAGCAGAAAGACAGACCCCACUGUGUUGCUUUGAGCUCCAGAGAUUGGCUGUGCUGGGGAGGACCUCUUGGUUCGACUGAGAGAAACAGCCUUCUUUAGGCUGUUCACUUCAUCAGAAAAGAUUUACAGCCAUUGAGCCAUCUGAGGACAAUGCCUGACCAGCUCCAUACCAACAAGCUGCUUGUGGGAUGUGUCACAGAUGCCCCCAUAGUCCACUGCUACACUGGCACAUUUCUGUGAGGGAGAAAAAGCUCUCCAGCUCUGCCCUCCUGAGAGAAGCUAUCAGAGCCCAUCAUUAGAAGCAGUCCCUCACCAACGCCGUUGAUUGAGGAGCAGCCUCAGAAGGCUGGGCUUCUGGUGGGCUGGUCUCUAGCUACGGGGCUUCCCCACUUCUGUGAGCUGUUUACAGUCACAUACAUGCAUUGCAAGGAUUUACGGUCUCCAAAGCACUGUUCAGAAACGCAUGCAUGUGCAAUUUCUCCUCUUCAAAUUCUGUUCUUGUCUCUGUCCUCCUGUUAAGUGCAGCUGAGAAAGCACCGUCCCUUACAAUCUAGACCUAGUGAUGUGUGCCUGGCGCUGCUUAGCUCUUAAAAUAAUUUCAGCUGGAUUUGAGGAUGUGUAGUGCCACUGUGCAAACCUACCCUCCGUGAGGAGCUGUGCUGGUGCCACGAGUGAAGUCCCUUCUCUGCACUGCAUG